GUCGAUGAACGCUGGCGGCAUGCCUUACACAUGCAAGUCGAACGGCAGCACGGGGGCAAUCCUGGUGGCGAGUGGCGAACGGGUGAGUAAUACAUCGGAACGUGUCCUGUAGUGGGGGAUAGCCCGGCGAAAGCCGGAUUAAUACCGCAUACGCUCUACGGAGGAAAGGGGGGGAUCUUAGGACCUCCCGCUACAGGGGCGGCCGAUGGCAGAUUAGCUAGUUGGUGGGGUAAAGGCCUACCAAGGCGACGAUCUGUAGCUGGUCUGAGAGGACGACCAGCCACACUGGGACUGAGACACGGCCCAGACUCCUACGGGAGGCAGCAGUGGGGAAUUUUGGACAAUGGGGGAAACCCUGAUCCAGCAAUGCCGCGUGUGUGAAGAAGGCCUUCGGGUUGUAAAGCACUUUUGUCCGGAAAGAAAACCUCUGGGUUAAUACCCCGGGGGGAUGACGGUACCGGAAGAAUAAGCACCGGCUAACUACGUGCCAGCAGCCGCGGUAAUACGUAGGGUGCAAGCGUUAAUCGGAAUUACUGGGCGUAAAGCGUGCGCAGGCGGUCCGCUAAGACAGAUGUGAAAUCCCCGGGCUUAACCUGGGAACUGCAUUUGUGACUGGCGGGCUAGAGUAUGGCAGAGGGGGGUAGAAUUCCACGUGUAGCAGUGAAAUGCGUAGAGAUGUGGAGGAAUACCGAUGGCGAAGGCAGCCCCCUGGGCCAAUACUGACGCUCAUGCACGAAAGCGUGGGGAGCAAACAGGAUUAGAUACCCUGGUAGUCCACGCCCUAAACGAUGUCAACUAGUUGUCGGGUCUUCAUUGACUUGGUAACGUAGCUAACGCGUGAAGUGACCGUCC
rnacentral:rRNA from 1 species